CGUGAGGGAAAGGCGAAAAGAACCCCGGCGAGGGGAGUGAAAAAGAACCUGAAACCGUGUACGUACAAGCAGUGGGAGCACGCUUAGGCGUGUGACUGCGUACCUUUUGUAUAAUGGGUCAGCGACUUAUAUUCUGUAGCAAGGUUAACCGAAUAGGGGAGCCGAAGGGAAACCGAGUCUUAACUGGGCGUUAAGUUGCAGGGUAUAGACCCGAAACCCGGUGAUCUAGCCAUGGGCAGGUUGAAGGUUGGGUAACACUAACUGGAGGACCGAACCGACUAAUGUUGAAAAAUUAGCGGAUGACUUGUGGCUGGGGGUGAAAGGCCAAUCAAACCGGGAGAUAGCUGGUUCUCCCCGAAAGCUAUUUAGGUAGCGCCUCGUGAAUUCAUCUCCGGGGGUAGAGCACUGUUUCGGCAAGGGGGUCAUCCCGACUUACCAACCCGAUGCAAACUGCGAAUACCGGAGAAUGUUAUCACGGGAGACACACGGCGGGUGCUAACGUCCGUCGUGAAGAGGGAAACAACCCAGACCGCCAGCUAAGGUCCCAAAGUCAUGGUUAAGUGGGAAACGAUGUGGGAAGGCCCAGACAGCCAGGAUGUUGGCUUAGAAGCAGCCAUCAUUUAAAGAAAGCGUAAUAGCUCACUGGUCGAGUCGGCCUGCGCGGAAGAUGUAACGGGGCUAAACCAUGCACCGAAGCUGCGGCAGCGACGCUGAUGCGUUGUUGGGUAGGGGAGCGUUCUGUAAGCCUGCGAAGGUGUGCUGUGAGGCAUGCUGGAGGUAUCAGAAGUGCGAAUGCUGACAUAAGUAACGAUAAAGCGGGUGAAAAGCCCGCUCGCCGGAAGACCAAGGGUUCCUGUCCAACGUUAAUCGGGGCAGGGUGAGUCGACCCCUAAGGCGAGGCCGAAAGGCGUAGUCGAUGGGAAACAGGUUAAUAUUCCUGUACUUGGUGUUACUGCGAAGGGGGGACGGAGAAGGCUAUGUUGGCCGGGCGACGGUUGUCCCGGUUUAAGCGUGUAGGCUGGUUUUCCAGGCAAAUCCGGAAAAUCAAGGCUGAGGCGUGAUGACGAGGCACUGCGGUGCUGAAGCAACAAAUGCCCUGCUUCCAGGAAAAGCCUCUAAGCAUCAGGUAACAUCAAAUCGUACCCCAAACCGACACAGGUGGUCAGGUAGAGAAUACCAAGGCGCUUGAGAGAACUCGGGUGAAGGAACUAGGCAAAAUGGUGCCGUAACUUCGGGAGAAGGCACGCUGAUAUGUAGGUGAAGUCCCUCGCGGAUGGAGCUGAAAUCAGUCGAAGAUACCAGCUGGCUGCAACUGUUUAUUAAAAACACAGCACUGUGCAAACACGAAAGUGGACGUAUACGGUGUGACGCCUGCCCGGUGCCGGAAGGUUAAUUGAUGGGGUUAGCGCAAGCGAAGCUCUUGAUCGAAGCCCCGGUAAACGGCGGCCGUAACUAUAACGGUCCUAAGGUAGCGAAAUUCCUUGUCGGGUAAGUUCCGACCUGCACGAAUGGCGUAAUGAUGGCCAGGCUGUCUCCACCCGAGACUCAGUGAAAUUGAACUCGCUGUGAAGAUGCAGUGUACCCGCGGCAAGACGGAAAGACCCCGUGAACCUUUACUAUAGCUUGACACUGAACAUUGAGCCUUGAUGUGUAGGAUAGGUGGGAGGCUUUGAAGUGUGGACGCCAGUCUGCAUGGAGCCGACCUUGAAAUACCACCCUUUAAUGUUUGAUGUUCUAACGUUGACCCGUAAUCCGGGUUGCGGACAGUGUCUGGUGGGUAGUUUGACUGGGGCGGUCUCCUCCUAAAGAGUAACGGAGGAGCACGAAGGUUGGCUAAUCCUGGUCGGACAUCAGGAGGUUAGUGCAAUGGCAUAAGCCAGCUUGACUGCGAGCGUGACGGCGCGAGCAGGUGCGAAAGCAGGUCAUAGUGAUCCGGUGGUUCUGAAUGGAAGGGCCAUCGCUCAACGGAUAAAAGGUACUCCGGGGAUAACAGGCUGAUACCGCCCAAGAGUUCAUAUCGACGGCGGUGUUUGGCACCUCGAUGUCGGCUCAUCACAUCCUGGGGCUGAAGUAGGUCCCAAGGGUAUGGCUGUUCGCCAUUUAAAGUGGUACGCGAGCUGGGUUUAGAACGUCGUGAGACAGUUCGGUCCCUAUCUGCCGUGGGCGCUGGAGAACUGAGGGGGGCUGCUCCUAGUACGAGAGGACCGGAGUGGACGCAUCACUGGUGUUCGGGUUGUCAUGCCAAUGGCACUGCCCGGUAGCUAAAUGCGGAAGAGAUA
rnacentral:rRNA from 1 species